rnacentral:tRNA from 1 species
GCCGGCGUAGCUCAGUGGUAGAGCGUACGUUUCAUAAGCGUAUGGUCGCAAGUCCGAUUCUUGCCGUCGGCA